rnacentral:misc_RNA from 1 species
AACGCAAAUUGCGCCUAUUAGUAUUCUAGUAGGCAUACCUAUUCGAGCGUCGUUUCUAAAUUCAACUACUUAGUUGGUGUUAGGGGCUAAGAAAGUUAUUUUACUAACUAGCCACUGAAAUACAUGAACCAUCAGUAUAGCUGCUUCUUUCUACAUAGUAAAUCACAUUGUUUAGAGAGUGCUUUAGUGAUGUUGCUUAUAUAUUUUUUCGCAAGUUGACCUCGAAUUAGGCAGGAAUACCCGCUGAACUUAA